GUCUUCUUGAUAAUGAUAUGAAGUCUGUCCUGCUCACUGAAUAUUUAAAGAGCCGCGGUAUUUUGACCGUGCAAAGGUAGCAUAAUCAUUAGUUUCUUAAUUAGAGGCUGGUAUGAAUGGUUUGACGAGAAAUUAACUGUCUCUUAAUAAAUGGUAGAAUUUAACUUUUUAGUCAAAAGGCUAAAAUUUUUCUUUAGGACGAGAAGACCCUAUAGAGCUUUAUAUAUUAUUUAGAUAUAUUUUUGGGUUAAGUAUAUUAUAUAUUUGAUGUUUAUGUUUUGUUGGGGUGACAUGAAGAACAAAAAAACUCUUCAUUAUUAAAUCAUUAAUUUAUGUUUUUGAUCCAUAAUUUAUGAUCAUAAGAUUAAGUUACCUUAGGGAUAACAGCGUAAUUAUUCUUGAGAGUUCAUAUCUACAGAAUAGAUUGCGACCUCGAUGUUGGAUUAAGAGAAAUUUUGGGUGCAGAGGCUCAUUAAUUAGGUCUGUUCGACCUUUAAAUUCUU
rnacentral:rRNA from 1 species